rnacentral:rRNA from 1 species
GAUGAACGCUGGCGGCGUGCCUAACACAUGCAAGUCGAACGGAACUUUUACGGAUUGAGACUUCGGUUGAUUGAGGUUUAAGUUUAGUGGCGGACGGGUGAGUAACGCGUGAGUAACCUGCCUUUCACAGGGGGAUAACGUUUGGAAACGAACGCUAAUACCGCAUAACGUAGCGGGGUCGCAUGGCUCUGCUACCAAAGAUUUUAUCGGUGAGAGAUGGACUCGCGUCCGAUUAGGUAGUUGGUGAGGUAACGGCCCACCAAGCCGACGAUCGGUAGCCGGACUGAGAGGUUGAACGGCCACAUUGGGACUGAGACACGGCCCAG